rnacentral:misc_RNA from 1 species
AGAAUCAUAUCUAGGAAGGUCUCCAUCUCCUUGAGAGGCUAUCAAAUCUGUCCCUUGCACUGGUACCCUCCUUAUAAAAGGUAGUCUUCAACUUUGACAUAGUUGAUUCAUAUAUUUUAAUUUUUCUAUCAAGCAUAUCUUCUGCAAACCUCCUCACCUCCGAUAACCUACCCAAAUUACAAAGGCCUAUGAGAAGCAUGUUUGCGCUCUCAUCAAGCUCAAGGGGCAAAACAUGGUUCUCAACCAUGUAGUUCCAUAUCUCAAUUGCCAUUUCAGGAUCAUCACCAUCCAUCAACACUGUGAUGGCUACAGCGCAAUCAUGAUAAGUGGGGGGCAUUUCAUUCUUGAUCAUCUCACAGAAGGACUUGCCUACUUGGGAAACCUUUUUAUCUUUUAUCAGACGAUGAAAAAUCAUAUUAUAAGU